AAGGAGUUCCGACACGUUACGUAGUAUACGCGCCCAUGGAUUGCAAGUCGCGCAGAUUCUGAUAGCGCGUUCGGAGCAAGCGGUUGCGUCCGCGUGCCCCACCGAUAGACGGCUUCGGGCGGUACGGUAAUCCUCAGUGUGGCACGCAGCCGCAGUUGAACUAAGUGGAGACACUACUGGAACAUUCCGAAACCGGCGGGUUAUGGAAGGCCAGAUUAUGCCAACGAUCAUUUUCCUUCCGUUUCCUCGUGUUUCUUUCUCUCUCUCUCUCUUUUUUCAUUACAGACGAGCGGUUUCACCGAGUUGUUGAUCUCGACGAUAACGGCUGUUGCGGUCCGGUGGCGACGAGCGAUGACGUACGGCGCACGAAGGAAAGACGCCUGGUCACAGCAGCGCAUGCGCCAACAGUUGAGAGUUGCGCUUAAAUUUUGCUUUAAGAAGCGGCCGCCGAGACACCCGCCCUUCAUUAUGCGUUUCACGCCGCAGCCGCCCGUAACAGCUGAACCUCUGCAUCGUAGCGUACAUGCUCUGGCAGCGAUUGUCGACCACAUCACCUACCCCGAAACAGCCAUGGGUUCCGGUGCUGGCUUCUGCUGUAUGGAGUGCUUCGAAGCUUUAAGUAGCGGCUGCACCACUUACGGUCUGGACUUCUGCAAUUGCGGUUACGUGACUCUCUUUUGCUCUGGAAUUCUCGCACGGCCCAUUGGAGCUCUCGGAAUACGUAUGCGACGCGCGGCGGCCAUUGCAUCCUUUUUCACGCGAGAGCUGUCACGACUGACGCCAACGACGCCGUUGCUGCCGACAAGUCUGAAGUCUCGCAUGUCGCGGUCUUUUCUUUUGUGCGCGUGUUGCCACGAACGAACUCAUCCUGCCACUUAACCGAGGGACAACGAGCCAACUGUCGUCGGCACGUGCUUCAACUACCUUGUGAGUUUCAAGUACGCACCCUAGGCCUCCGCUUCCAGCGCACUCUAGCAACAUCCCUGCGCCCUGCCGUGUCCCAGACGGAUGACGUUCAUUGCCUGCUGUUCCCCGCGGCUGACCGUCUGUACACUUCUCCUCCAGCCACACAGCUACUGGUUUCCUGGUCAAUUAAGAAACCUGCACGACCCGCCCUGCAGUACGUAGACUGUGCGUAGUUCCCCAACUUUUCCCAUCAGUCACGUGCGAUGGAUUUUCCUACGCCCUGCCGCGUCCCACACGGAUGACGUUCAUCGCCUGCUGUUCCCCGCGGCAGACCGUCCGUACACUUCUCCAGCCACACAGCUACUGGUUUCCUGGCCAAUGGAGAAACCUGCACGACCCGCCCUGCUGUACGUCGACUGCGCGCAGGCAAAUCCGAGGUAUUCUGGUCCGUGCUGUGGCGUUGUGCUGACGAAUGCUUAUCACGCCUCCUUGUCGUUUCAGUUCCCCAGGUUUUCCCAUCAGUCACGUGCGAUGGAUUUUCCUACGCCCUGCCGUGUCCCACACGGAUGACGUUCAUCGCCUACGAUUCCCUGCGGCUGACCGUCCGUACACGUCUCCUCCAGCCACACAGCUACUGGUUUCCUGGCCAGUGGAGAAACCUGCACGACCCGCCCUGCAGUACGUCGACUGCACGUAGUCUACAACCGUUGUCUUGACAUCCGCCGCCCCUCAAGAUUUGUUCCACCUGCGUAGUAGGCCAUGACGUCCAGCGCUCACCGUAGUGCGGCAAGCCUUGCUCACGAGACAGUUCGUCACAUUGCUACGCCCGCUGACCUUGAGCUGCAGGAAAAGUUUCUCGCUGCCUGCUCCGUGCUGCCUCUAUGACUCUGCGCAACUACGGAGUCGAGACGCGAACCCCGAUCACGACAUCUAUGUGCGAGUUCUUUCUGCCCGGUAGCUGUAUCAUAGCAGUUCGAUAAAGACUCGUAUUGAGGGUCCCUUACUGUUUGACGAGCGGACCAAAAAAAUUCCGGGUAACAUGCUGGCUAAUCUGUGGUACAUUGCUCCCUCAAUCUGGAGGUUGGUGCACGUUAAUUCACACCCUGUGCUUUCGUAAUAGUACGCUGAUGCUGGUUCGCAUUGUGAAGUUGCGCGCGCGUAUGUGUUCGUAUGAGCAUGCGUGUGUGUGUUGCUGCAUGUAAGUUGUCUACUAUACGCGCGUCCGACUUCGAUCACUUCAUCUGGUUGUUGGCAUAUUUUUAGCUGUGUGCGUUCUCACUUGUUCCAUGGAGUUCUUGGUGGCUGGCCUCGUCUCAUCUCUGAAUUCUUCAGUAAGCUCGUUGAUUGUUCCGCAGUGAUGGUUGCCAAUCUUUUCUAAAAUCCUUCCAGCUUUGGCUCUGGGCGUUCCCCUUAAUUGAAGGGCGUCCAGUGGCGUAUUUGCCUGUGGCCCUUGCCUCGUCAACUUUUCUAAUCGAAGGGGUCUCUGUUGGUUUUCUUUGUCUAUAUCUUCCUUGUUUAUCAAGUUAUUCUUCAUGGCUAAUGCGAGGCAUCAGCGUACCGUUACGAAGAGCAUAUGGUGUGAAUGAAAGGCAAUAAAACAUUUCCGUUAGCUUGUGAACAUGCUUAUCCUUUGAAAUGUAGUGCUGGCGUGGCACCAUGCUUAUUUUGAAAAACCUGUCUACAGUUCCAACCUGUGACCACUGCGGCCAUGAAGAAUCAAUUGGCCAUAUUUUGUGUGCCUGCCCGCAGUACAGUACACAGAGGGCAUGCCUUCGCCACGAACUUGACCAACUGGACGACCAAGCGCUAUCCGAAAAAAGAAUUCUACGACAUCGAAAGGACCUACCGUCACAGAAGAAGGCCGUGCAAGCGCUAUUGCGCUUUUUGCGAUCUACCGGCCUGUGUGAACGACUUUAACUGGAACGCCUUUUGUGUGUGUGUGCCUCCAUGUGUGCGUGUUUUUUUCCCUUUUUUUUGCGUUUUCCUCUCUGUCAUCUUUCUAACCCCCAUCCCCAGUGUAGGGUAGCAAACCGGAGACUCAUAUCUGGUUAACCUCCCUGCCUUUCCUCUUCAUUCUCUCUCUCUGUCUACAGUUAUUAUUCAUGUUGGCGGUAAAGCUGCGUACCACUACACAGCCAAGCAAAGCAGGUCCUGAACCUCCGUUCAGCAAGAUUGGGCAUUGAUCGGAUGCCACCACCGUACGUGCCUGCUAUGUGACGUCUUGAUCACUGUUUCAUCACCGUAACUUUCGUACUUCACUGUUCACUGCCCUGUGUAAACUUACUUGCUUAAAUCCACUUGUACUUUUCUGAAACAUGUACUUGCUGUACAAUGUUCACUGGAACCUAAUAAAAUGACGGUGUUCUUUUCC